GUUCAUCAGCACCAUCUAUCACCACAGCCAAAAAGGUCUCAGUGCCUAUUCCUGCUCCCUGAGCCCUGACCCAGCCCUGGCUUUCCAGCCAGCUGCAACCCUUUCGUCCACCCCACCGUCUCGUGCUUUGCCUCUCCAGAUCCUCCAGCCAAGAUCCAUCUUCAGAUCAGGCAUCCAAGUCAGAUGGAGGAGGCCAGGCCUUGGCUGUGUAAUCCAGGAGCUCCAAUCUCAGCUGUUUGCUCCCCUCUUGGGAAAGAUAUAUUUGUGUCUAUGAAGACCCCAAGUGCUACCCACGAGGGCAGAACAGAUCCAAGGAAGGGGCAUGUUCCACAGGAGGUAUCAGCCUUAUGAACUACAGUAUCAUCACAUUUAUAAACAGAAACCAGGAAAUCAUGUCCAGGGACCAGCGUACUCAUGUGCAUGUGUUCCAGAAAUUCAAGUGUGAGGGGGGACCAUCUUUCCAAGGAUGGACUCCAUUCAAGUCCUUCAUUCUUACCCCCAACAAAUCCACUGAGAAUAAUUCCAUCUGGAGAGAGAGAGAGAGCUAAGCACAGGAGUCCCUUUCUUCUUUCCAACCAACCAGGACCUCGAGGGAUGCCUGUUCUCUGCCAUCCCCCACCUGAGUUUGGGGACCUCAGACAGGGGCCUGAGCUGGUAUGAGCUUUGGCAUAAGUCACAGAGAUUUAAUACCAUAUAUCCAGCGUCUGGUCUUUCAGAAUGACAUUUUCAUUAGAGUGGAAAUAUGCCACCUAAACAAACAAAAAAGUAUUUCUCAGCUUCCCCUGAAGAUGGCAGUGACCAGUGAAAUAUAAGGGGAAGUCACUGGGUGGGGAUUUUGGAAAGGAUUUGUAAAGGGAGGUUUCUCAGCUGAUAGAUACCCUUUUGCCUUCCCCAAUUUCUCCUACUUUCUAUCUAGAACGUCAACAUGAUGGCUGGAAUUCUAGUGGCCAUCUUAAGUCAUGGGGUGACCUUGAGAAACAGAAAGACACAUGGCGGCUGGGACAUGGAUGGUACCAAGGAGCCCUCUUGACAGGCCUGGAUUGCCAACCCAGACUUCUUUUACAUGAGAGAAGAGCAAACUUGAAUUAUAUUGGCCAGUAGCCUACUCAAUAUUUGGCCUUUCUGUCCUGCAACUGAACCUAAUACUAACAGAUACAGCAGGUCUCCAAAAACAGAAAGUACUGAGGCCCCUGGUGCUCAGAGAUCCCUGGAAAGAGUGACUGAGCUGAGAUAACCCACAGCCCCACCUUGAAUCCAAGACCCUCCAUUGGAAGCCAGGGCCUGCCUGUCAUUGUCUUCCAGGAAAGCUGUCUCAGUCACUUCCCCGGGCCUCAGUCUUUCUCAACACAAAUAUCACCAUCUCCAUAACACCCCUCUCCCAAAAUAAUGCUUGUAGCUCCCCACCUCCCUCCCUCGUGAAAUCUGAAGCCUGAUGAAGCCUCCCUAGACAGUUUGUGCAAAGAAUGGCACAAGCAUGAAUGAUGAUUUCAUCAAGAGUCUGCAGGGCACAAGGCUGUGCCAGUCCUUUUCUGGAAGGUCAGGGAUAGGAAGACAGGUUAAGGAAAUGCCAGAGGCUCUGAGUCUGACUGAGCCAGGGAAGGAGAACCAGGAUCAGUCCAUAAACAAGCAGGAAGUAGCCCCUUUUGUUUUGGCUUAGGCCUGCACCAGGGAAGCUGAGUCACUUAGGGGUAGGGAAUGGAGGCAGGGAGAGGGCAGAGCCCCCAGACUCGUGGUUAGGACCCCUAAGUGCAAAAUCCCAGUUCUGGCUCCAACUUGCCCAGAAAAUGAGGGUUUUUGGCUAGGUGAGCUAUGA
rnacentral:lncRNA from 1 species